AGACUGAGCAAGUGGAGUAGCAGAACCAAGAACCUCUUUCAUAUAUGAGGAAAGACUGCUGCCUUUUCAAGCGAAGGGAAGCUUCUAGGACUGGCUGUCCCCUGCUGAGCUCAGUGGUGUCCACACCCUGGCGCAUCCCUCCUCACUGGCCAGUCUCCUCCCACUGAGGGGCUGGAAUUGUCUGCACACAUUUGGGCCUCCCAGAGUGAUCUGCUUCCUGAGUAAAGAGCUCCUGAUCCUAAUUAUGUGCACAGCCCUUUGAUCAGGAGCCCAGGAGGGACACGUACUUUCUGUUAAAGCUUCUCUUGUCCUCAUCUUUUCUUACCAGAUUACAAACUUUGUUUUCAAGGGGAGGGUUUAAAAAUGGGAUCCUUUAAGCAAAAUCAGGCAGUUUCAUUAUGGAAUAGGUUGUCUGUACUUGUUCUAAUGUUUUGUAGAACACAUGUGCCUGUUUAAAUGUAUUGAUGUGGAUAAUAUUAAAUAUCUUAAUUAUUUAAAUAAUUCAUUGUAUUGUUUCUGAGAAGUUGGGAAAUUACUGUAUACAUUUACAACUUAAUGACUUUUGUAUUUUAUUUUUCAAAAUAAAAGCUUUAAAUGUGAAGCAUUCUGGUA